AAAAAAAUACAACAAAGAAAUAUAAAAACUUUAAUAUAAAUUAUAAUAAAUAAUUGUUUAUUAUUUUAACUUUUAAUUUUUCCGACUGAUGUGGGGAGGGUGGAAGCUCGGGGAAGGUUCUAGAUUCUUCUUUUCUUUUUUUUAUUAUCGUUCUUGUUAUUCUUAUACGAUUCGCGCGUACGUCGGAUCUAGUGAGCAGAUGGCACAAUUCCAGUGACUCGUCAGAGUUCCGCGUUACGGGUGUAUCGCUCUCGUUUGAACUGCACGUCUCGUGUGCCACUGUAAUGAUCUGACAACGCGUGCGAUUCGAUUCUGAUCCGAUUAUUCGGAGGCUGUGACGUCGUUGAAUGACAUACGAAUCUGUUCGAAACAUUGUACACAUUACGAAAACCUAUCCUAUAAAAGCUGAGCAAUUAACUCAUCCGUGGCCAAUCGCUGGUACAAAGUGAAUUGUUAAAAUCAUAUUGUUGGUUGGGGUAAAACAGAAAAAGACGUGUCAAGUACCAUUUUAUUAGAAGCCAGUUUACCGUACAUCGACCAUAAUUCUUGUCGAAGCAUGUAUAAAACAUGUAUAAAAAUGGUUUUCAAACGUUUGUAACUAUUGAAAAGUUCUGUACUGGGUCUGAAUAAG